UACGUAGGGUGCAAGCGUUGUCCGGAAUUAUUGGGCGUAAAGCGCUCGUAGGCGGUCUGUUGCGUCUGCUGUGAAAACUCGGGGCUUAACCCCGAGCCUGCAGUGGAUACGGGCAGACUAGAGGGAGGUAGGGGAGAAUGGAAUUCCCGGUGUAGCGGUGAAAUGCGCAGAUAUCGGGAGGAACACCGGUGGCGAAGGCGGUUCUCUGGGCCUUACCUGACGCUGAGGAGCGAAAGCGUGGGGAGCGAACAGG
rnacentral:rRNA from 1 species